rnacentral:lncRNA from 1 species
GCCAGAUGUCCUCUGUAGCAAGAGGCAGGACAAACAGUGAGGACUGCACCAACACUCACCGGGUGACCCCUUUGCUUUGGAAACUUACUCAGGGUGAAAGGAAUUCCGAUUUUAAACAGCAUCUCUUUGUGUGGCCUGUUUGAGGCACCACACAGAGCUUGCUGGAGCAGCUCUGUUGACCGCUGACCCUUGGCCUGCUAACUGAAACAAGGUGAGUAUUUCUAAGGCUGUCGUGGCCACGGGAGGACCGGAGAAUAAAUGUGGACCUAUUUACAUUCUCUUUUCCCUGAAGGUGAUAAAUGGCUUCCCCCAUCCAAACCAGGCCCCUCUAGGGCCUUUAUUUGCUAUUCUGGUUUUAAAAGGCAGACGGAGAAUGUAUUGAGUUAUCUUUCAACUGUUUACUAGCAGAAGGGCAAAGAUCAGAUUACCAGCUCAGAGUGAUUCAUCUUUUCUCCCAAAUCAAAGCCAUAUGUACACAGAGUCUGUGUACACAUUAGUUCAUUUCAUUCAUUCAUCUAGGUCAGGAGAGGGAGACCUGGGACAAAGGUCCCGCAGAAAGAGAUGGAGGCAUCAGGCCACAGACAGUGAGC